rnacentral:rRNA from 1 species
AACGAACGCUGGCGGCAGGCUUAACACAUGCAAGUCGAACGCAUCCUUCGGGGUGAGUGGCAGACGGGUGAGUAACGCGUGGGAACGUGCCCUUCAGUUCGGAAUAACCCAGGGAAACUUGGGCUAAUACCGGAUACGUGCGCGAGCAGAAAGAUUUAUCGCUGAAGGAUCGGCCCGCGUCUGAUUAGCUAGUUGGUGGGGUAAUGGCCUACCAAGGCGACGAUCAGUAGCUGGUCUGAGAGGAUGAUCAGCCACAUUGGGACUGAGACACGGCCCAAACUCGUACGGGAGGCAGCAGUGUGGAAUAUUGGACAAUGGGCGCAAGCCUGAUCCAGCCAUGCCGCGUGAGUGAUGACGGACUUAGGGUUGUAAAGCUCUUUCGUCCGGGACGAUAAUGACGGUACCGGAAGAAGAAGCCCCGGCUAACUUCGUGCCAGCAGCCGCAGUAA